UGACACGGUGGUUGAGGUCCUGCCCCCUCAUCGGCGCCCUGCAGCCCCGUGUACAAAGAACUGGAACCUGCUGUUCUGGCACCCUUGAAUUUGGGGUUCAUCUACUGAAACUCUGGUUUAUUAUUGUUGAUUUUAAUAUCACAGAAACUAUUUCAUGAAUUGACCAGCUCCGUGUCCUUGUGAACCAACACCCUUGAUCUAUACUCCACGCUACGCCUUCACGGCACGUGGAGGGAACACGUCCAGGGGGACUUCCAUAUUUUAUAGUUGCAUUUAACUUAGUUUUAUUGUGUUUGUAUGUGUUAUUUUGUUGUUUGUUUGUUCAAAAGUGUUUUAACCCUUGACUUGUUUUAAUAGUAUUUUUGUUGUGGUCAGGUGCUGUGGCCCGGAGGCGGCGACCCAAUUCCUGGUGGAGGGAGUUUUCUUCACAACCCGUUUUGUUUGGUGUGCUGUGUCACGGGUGGUUUGUUUUAUUAGUCCCUUCCCCUUUUUGUUUGGUUCUCGUCGCCGUGGUGCUGUGGCCCGGAGGCGGCGACCCAAUUCCUGGUGGAGGGAGUUUUCUUCACAACCCGUUUUGUUUGGUGUGCUGUGUCACGGGUGGUUUGUUUUAUUAGUCCCUUCCCCUUUUUGUUUGGUUCUCGUCGCCGUGGUAAGUCACAGCCCUGUCCAGUUAGUUACUUAUUUUUAACUCAAGUGUUAGGUUUGUUUUGUGUUUUGACGAUGUGAAUUUGUGUUUAUUAAAGUUGAUUUAUUAUUGAUUUAAA